rnacentral:rRNA from 1 species
AACGAACGCUGGCGGCAGGCUUAACACAUGCAAGUCGAACGCAUCCUUCGGGGUGAGUGGCAGACGGGUGAGUAACGCGUGGGAACGUGCCCAUCAGUUCGGGAUAACCCAGGGAAACUUGGGCUAAUACCGGAUACGUGCGAGAGCAGAAAGAUUUAUCGCUGAAGGAUCGGCCCGCGUCUGAUUAGGUAGUUGGUGGGGUAAUGGCCCACCAAGGCGACGAUCAGUAGCUGGUCUGAGAGGAUGAUCAGCCACAUUGGGACUGAGACACGGCCCAAACUCCUACGGGAGGCAGCAGUGGGGAAUAGUGGACAAGAGGCGCAAGCCUGAUCCAGCCAUGCCGCGUGAGUGAUGAAGGCCUUAGGGUUGUAAAACUCUUUCGUCCGGGACGAUAAUGACGGUACCGGAAGAAGAAGCCCCGGCUAACUUCGUGCCAGCCGCCGCCGUAACAC